AUGCUAGGGAGGAAAAUUUUCUUCCUUCAUAACUACUCCCAUGUCAUGUGUGAUCUACGUGUAGUGGAAUCCAGAGAUCAUCUCUUUUUCCAUUGUCAAUUUGCCCAAACCUGCUGAAAAAAAUUAUGCCCCAAUUGGUCAGCUUUGUCAUUUAUACAAGAUCAGAUUGCCAAUUUGAAGCACUUGCUGAACUUGCCCUUUGCCAUGGAUACUAUCAUCCUUCUUCCCUGGGCAAUUUGGAACACCAGAAAUGGCUUCAUCUUUAGACAGAUUCAGCCAAGCUUAUAUGGUUGCAGAAAGCUCUUUAAGGAUGAAAUGCAUGUGCUUCUGUUCAGAGCUAAGCGGAAAUCAUAUGGCUCACUCCCUAACUGGGUCUAGAACUUCAGAUAA
rnacentral:rRNA from 1 species